UUUGCUGCUCUUCCCAUCAAGGGUUUACAUCUGUUGCUGUUCUCUGGGAACUCUUCCAUCACCGUGUGAACAAGCCCAGGCUAGCCUUCUGGAGGAUGAGAGACCUAAUGGAUGGAGGUUCUGCCCCAGACAUUCCUAAAUCAAUCGGCCUCAGCAAAGCUGAUCUAGGUCCUUAUGGUGAGAAUACAGAGAUUUACCCAAAUUACUCAACGCCUUGACUCCUCAGUGAAUCACUGCUUUCUACCACCUACAAAACAAGUUGCCUGAGCCUAAACUAAGAUUUAGGACAGGUGAAAAUGAAAAUGAAGUUGGAGGAUUGUGAUACAUGCAUGAACUGUUUUUCCAGAAAGCUAGUCACCAAAUGAUUAAGGCAGUGGUUCUUCAGGAGUGUGGAGGGCUAGAAGCUGAACGAUCUAUGUUCAUCAAAACAAAACAAAACAAAAUGAAAGCUGUCUUGGAACUUGGAUCAUCAGCCACUGCCUCAAGGCCCAGCAAUGAGGGAGGAAAAUCACUUGCAAGGACAAGAGGAAAACAAAAGCACAAAGAUUAA
rnacentral:lncRNA from 1 species